AUUGAACGCUGGCGGCAUGCCUUACACAUGCAAGUCGAACGGCAGCACGGGAGCAAUCCUGGUGGCGAGUGGCGAACGGGUGAGUAAUAUAUCGGAACGUGCCCAGUCGUGGGGAUAACGUAGCGAAAGCUACGCUAAUACCGCAUACGAUCUACGGAUGAAAGCGGGGGAUCGCAAGACCUCGCGCGAUUGGAGCGGCCGAUAUCAGAUUAGGUAGUUGGUGAGGUAAAGGCUCACCAAGCCGACGAUCUGUAGCUGGUCUGAGAGGACGACCAGCCACACUGGGACUGAGACACGGCCCAGACUCCUACGGGAGGCAGCAGUGGGGAAUUUUGGACAAUGGGCGCAAGCCUGAUCCAGCAAUGCCGCGUGCAGGAUGAAGGCCUCGGUGUAACUGCUUUGUACGG
rnacentral:rRNA from 1 species